UCUAGAACCUGACACUAAUGGGAUAUUGGUGGACAGUUGCUCUCCUCUCCAUGUUUGUUAGGAGAGUACAUUGACUUGGGCCAGUGCCUUCAUUCCUGAUGGUUUUCUGCUCAGUUCCUGCAGAAAAAUGUUGUUUACAUGAACAGGGAUGGCAACAGGAUUGGGUGUUAUGAUCAAGGAGCCUGGCUUGAAGAAGGAUCAUCCCAGGGGCCCAACAGAGUGGUUAAGAUCUUGGGCCCAGAAGCCGGUCAGCCAGGCCUGUUUUGGAAUCCAGCUCCACAUUUGAUAGCUGGGUGACUCAGGAAACUUGCUGCAUGUUUCCAACAUUCAGUUUCCUCAUCUGUAAAAGUGGAGAUAAGGGACCAUGAGGGGCGUUAAAAGAGAUGAUCUAGAAAUGAAGGACCCCAAGAUGGCAGAACCACAGGAUGCAAGAAGCUCAGAUCCCUGAGUGCCUGUGUGGAGAUGACAUGACAAGGAGAGCUGCCCAACCUGUAUUGGACUUGGAUCACACACUAAAAGGACCUCAUAACCCAACUACAAACAGAAGCUAUCUUGCUGCUGUGCAGAGAGAGUCUGCCUAAGAAUGAAGCCCCGACUCAGUGAGAAUGGGUGAAAAGGAGGCCAAUGACAUCGCUUGAACCCUGGAUCCAGCUGUGCCUGAGACAGAGGCCUUGGACUUCUCAGUUACAGGAAGCAGUAAAUUCAUCUUGUUACUUAACAUAGUCUAAGUUGGGUUUCUGCCACUUUCCGCUGAACAAGGAUGGAGUGAGCACCAUGUAGAAGCUUAAGAAAUCUAAGUUCUCUCAAUUUUCUUCCUUAAAGUGACCACUCCCCAUUAACCUCCCAACCUAUCAGUUGACAACAUGUCAACCGUGCCAAUCCAGCCACCUUUACUCCCUCACUACCCCUUAUGUGUCACAUUUGGUCCAGCCUCUAGCCCGUGCACAUGCUGUUCCUUCUAUCUGGCUGCAGAAUUAUGUCUUUCCAAAGAGGUUUACUUUUAAAUAAACUUCUCCUUAGUCCGUUACCCUGAAAAUGACUGACAGGCCCAUUUGCUAAAAGUGGCAGCAAGAAUUAAGAGCCUCC
rnacentral:lncRNA from 1 species